rnacentral:misc_RNA from 1 species
UGUGGGAGCGAGCCUGCUCGCGAUAGCGGAUGUUCGGCCAAUGUUGAUGUGACUGACAGAUAGCCAUCGCGAGCAGGCUCGCUCCCACA